rnacentral:lncRNA from 1 species
GGAAUGCUGUCAGCUCAACAGUGCAGCCUCUCUCUUUCCCCUCAUGCUUAUCAAAGACUCAGAGCUCUGCUAACCGGUUCUUCCAGGGGUGUCCAUUCUGGAGGGCCAUGACCAGGAUAAAUUGAAUGGGGGAAUUUCUGCUCAUAAUUGUGUAGUUACCUGGAGUCCAAGCACCAAGGACACCAGGACACAAAAGAAUAUUCUAGGGUAGCAAGGAUUCAUGAGAUUUCUUUAAUGUGCAAUCGUUGGGACUUCUCUCCAGGAGAAGAUAGGACAAUCAAAGAGCCAAAUGAGAAAAUAUUUUAGGGGUCAAUCAGGAAAACAAAACAAAAUGAAGCCCAAAACUCUCAUGGGAGUCAAUAAGCCAGCAGACAACUCACCUCUCUCUUCCCAGCCCACUACAAUGAGGGCGAAGACACGGAGACCGGGAAUCUCCAUCACCCUAGGGCUACUUGGCUGUAUUCCUUCUUCUUCCUUCCACAUCCCUUUUUGAGGCUUUUCAGCUUUGUCUAAUUGGUCUUGUUUUUAAAGUUGCAAAUCGACUGAGGAUCUAUCUUUCGUGAUUCUUGACACACCCUGGGUAUUUAAAUAGAUGCUUUGAAAAUAAAAGGUUUCAUUUACAUGGUAAGUCUGGACA